rnacentral:lncRNA from 1 species
GCUCAUGUAGGUUUGACUCCCAGCAUUGCUGUGACAGCUGAGAACCGUCUGUAACCCCAGCUCCAGGACACUGAGGCCCAGUUCCAGCCAUCUGACCCACAGAGGAGUGCAGAACACAUUCAGAACCCCUCCUGGAAGCCGCAUGUGCGGCACUGCCUAUAAACCACUGGCUCCACAUCUGGCUACAUCUCGAUGUAAAGGAAGCCAUACAGCAGUCCUGAUAUCGUGCAGCCAUUUGGCUAGCUAGAACUCAGGCAUUCCGAGACCAGGAAGACAUGGAUGUUGAGGGUCAAACAGCGAUGUUCAUUACAGAAGACACGUGACAGCAUGCAAUCACCCUUUAUCUGCCCCAUACACAGAUGUUGACAUAUCUGAAUGUUCUUCUCAUAGUAACUGAUGUCCAUAGUAACUAACUUGAUUCUCAUACUAGCUUUGUGAAGGGAGUGCAGCCAUCUCUGAUUUCAACUGAAAAAACAAACAAACAAACUAGGUUUUCUGAGAGAUGAUUCUGUUGUUUAUACCGAACGCAUCACCCAGCUCAACAUCUCCUGCUUUAGGAAUCCCUGAAUGGGAGUCUACUGUGCAGGUCUGUGGGAGACUGAUGUAACCUUAUUACUUUGGGUAAUUAUGUUUGCAGGGGUUUUU